AAUGAACGCUGGCGGUAGGCCUAACACAUGCAAGUCGAACGGCAGCACCGUAAUUGCUUGCUCUUCCGGGUGGCCAGUGGCGGACGGGUGAGGAAUACAUCCUAAUCUACUCUUUCGUGUGGCUUAACGUAGGUAAACUUACUCUAAUACCGCAUACGCCCUACCGGUGAAAGCAUGGGAUCUUCGGACCUUUCGGGAUUGAAUUAGCCGAUGACGGAUUAGCUAGUUGGGGGGGUAAUGGCCCACCCAGGCGGCGAUCCGUGGCCCGUCGGAGAGGAGGAUCGGCCGCACUGGAAGUGGAACAGGGACCAGGCUACUGAGGGAGGCAGCAGUGGGGAAUAUGAGACAAUGGGCGCAAACCUGACCCAGCCAUCCCGCGUGGGAGAAGAAGGCCUUGGGUUUGUAAUGCCCGUUUGUGGGGAAAGAAAAGCAGCAGGUUGAGACCACGCGGUACUGACGGUACCGAAAGAAUAAGCACCGGCUAACUACGUG
rnacentral:rRNA from 1 species